rnacentral:rRNA from 2 species
AGCUUGCUCCUAAUGAGAGUGGCGCACGGGUGCGUAACACGUAUGUAACCUACCUUAGUCAGGGGGAUAGCCUCUCGAAAGAGAGAUUAAGACCGCAUAACAUUGAGCUGUGGCAUCACAAUUCAAUCAAAUAUUUAUAGGACUAAGAUGGGCAUGCGGAACAUUAGCUAGUUGGUGAGGUAACGGCUCACCAAGGCUACGAUGUUUAGGGGAUCUGAGAGGAUGGCCCCCCACACUGGUACUGAGACACGGACCAGACUCCUACGGGAGGCAGCAGUAAGGAAUAUUGGUCAAUGGGCGGAAGCCUGAACCAGCCAUGCCGCGUGCAGGACGACGGCCCUAUGGGUUGUAAACUGCUUUUGUACGGGAAUAAACCUUGAUACGUGUAUCAAGCUGAAUGUACUGUAAGAAUAAGGAUCGGCUAACUCCGUGCCAGCAGCCGCGGUAAUACGGAGGAUCCAAGCGUUAUCCGGAUUUAUUGGGUUUAAAGGGUGCGUAGGUGGCCUGUUAAGUCAGGGGUGAAAGACGGUAGCUUAAC